rnacentral:rRNA from 1 species
UACGUAGGGUGCAAGCGUUGUCCGGAAUUAUUGGGCGUAAAGAGCUCGUAGGCGGUCUGUCGCGUCGGCUGUGAAAACUCGGGGCUCAACUCCGAGCUUGCAGUCGAUACGGGCAGGCUAGAGUUCGGCAGGGGAGACUGGAAUUCCUGGUGUAGCGGUGGAAUGCGCAGAUAUCAGGAGGAACACCGAUGGCGAAGGCAGGUCUCUGGGCCAUUACUGACACUGAGAAGCGAAAGCAUGGGGAGCGAACAGG